AUCAAGUAAACAUGAUAAUACAUCAUAUUAAAACAAAUCAAUAAUUUCCCAAUCAAUCAUCAAAUCUUAGACUGUUAUCACUGAUAUAGUGCGUGUGUGCUCCACAACAAUGCUAACUGAUAUAAAAUCAAAUUUAAGACAUAAUAGAUAUCUUCGAAGGCAUCAUACAGUGCAAACUCACAAAAUUCACGAACAAGCUAAAUCCAACAAAAUUCAAACAUCCACCAAGUUCAAGAGUCCAAUCCGGGAUACUUAUGCUUUACUUUUCAUUACGGGGGCUUUUUGCUCUUUUCCCGUUUUAUUGUUGUUUUUUUUUACUUUUUUUUUAACCAUGACUGUGCAAUGUCUCAUUGCAUUAGGCUAACAGUGUCACCCCUUAGCGAGCUUUCGACCAACGACUCCCAGACCAUAUAAGACCUUAGGGCGCUAGGUUUUAAGAUACCCCUUCGGGCGUACUUACUCAAGUAACAAAGGCCCCGAAACAAAACUAGCCACGGUAAUUUUUUUUUUCUUUCUUUUUUUCUUUUUUUUUCUUUUUUGUUUUGUUUUUUUUAGCGAAGCUUAUAUAUCCCAAAUUUUCCCCCCAAACUUAAGUUUUUAUCUAAAUUUAGCCAUCUCCGCCUAUUCAUGUCUUUCAUUCCUUCAAACUAGUAUUAUCCUUAAAAAAUCCAUUAUGUAUCAAUUUAAACUUAAUCAGUUAACAUAGCUGUUAUUAACGUGCUAACCUUGAUUAUACCAGUUUCAAACAGGAAAAGAUUCAAUUCAUAACAAAAAAUCACAUCAAAGCCUUAAUAUUCAAUACUAUACUUAUCUACUUAAUUCCAGUCUCAUCAUUGGCCAAAAUAGACUUUUACUAUCUAACAGUUGGAAUCAUGCAAAUAUAAACUAAACGCAACAAACAAAGUAAACUAACUACUAUUUUUGCUAUUUU
rnacentral:lncRNA from 1 species